rnacentral:rRNA from 1 species
AUGAAUCUCCUCUGCUGGAGCUGUCGUGGGAUUGGCAACACCCCGACAGUUCACGAGUUGCGCAAUUUCGCGAAAAAGUUUGCCCCUAGAGUCCUUUGUUUAGAAACUCAGAUUAGUGCAGGAAAAGCGGAAGCUCUAAAAAAUACUCUAGGUUAUGAUUGCUCGUUUGCUGUUAGCUCCUCUGGGAGGAGUGGAGGCCUUUGUUUGUUCUGGAAUAAUGAAAUAAAGUUGGAAGUUUUGGGCUACUCUAGGUAUCAUAUUGAUAGCAAAGUGAGUGAAAUAGGUGAGCAACCGUGGAGACUUUCGUGUUUCUAUGGGGAGGCACAAACGCAUCUUCGGCAUCACACUUGGGACACUAUGAAAAAUUUAUCUACACUCCAAAGCUUGCCAUGGAUUUGCAUUGGGGACUUUAAUGAAGUGUUGAAACAUGAUGAACACGACGGUAUAGGCUCGAGGAGUCAGGCUCAGAUCCAAGGUUUCAGAGAUGCUGUUGAUGUUUGUGGAUUAAUUGAUCUCGGGUUUAAGGGAACCUGA